UUCAUUCAGAUUUUUACACAACAGUCUCAUUUAGCUCAAAUGACUUGAAUGUUUCAUAUAUAUUUCAAUCACUACACAACUACACAACAACACAAUCAGAUCAGACAGAAUGUUCUCAUGUAAGCAGUCGGCUGUGUCAGCAGCAUUCUCGCCUGCUUUUCCUUCACAUACAAGAAGUGAAACCUUCAGAAACAGAAAGCCAAUCCCUUUCACAAGCACUCCUGGCUUCUCUUUAUCGAUUUAUUAUAUGUCCUUCUGAAUCAUUAAAGUCAAAGUACACAACAGAGGAGAAACACACAACAGAAUAACACAACUGACAGUAAACUGGGUUAAAGUGUGAUUUUAAUGAAUGAACAGAAUGAUCCAUAUCUGAAUAAAACAGAUAUAGUACUGUAGAGAUUUUUCACCAUUAUACCACGGGUCUGUUGAAUGCUGUAUUCUGAUUGGCUGAGAAAUGUUUCGUGGGUAUGCAUUUAUUUCUGAUAACUGCACACCUAACUUGUCAAAUGUCUUAAAAAUAGGCACCAGAGCAAGGUUUGUGGUAACCGUGGUAUAAGAGGAAAAAUUUACUCCGGUCCUUUAAGUUAUUUGAAAAUAAUGCAUACCCGUGACCCGCGGUGUAACUUGGGUGUGCUUUAUUUUCUUAUAAUUCAAUGGACCGUCAGGGCUCCAGACUAACUUUUAUCACUAGGAGCACAGUGGCCCCCAACUGAAAAUUUUAGGGGCGCAAACAGAAAAUUUAGGGGCACACACCGUAAAUCAACAUGCUAACCAAAUAUUCACAUUUCUACUAAUUUCCACUGUAUUACUAAUAAAUACUUUAAUGAUAGAUGCAGAAAGUACAAUGUGCUGUUUCAAAUUCAUUGUCACAUUUUAUUGUGCACUUUUGGAAAAAAGGUCAAAUUUACUGGUUGCACAUGUGCGACUGGAUGUAAAAUUCAGUGGCACACUCUCAAAUUUUAGGGGCAAAAUGCCACCAUUUGGGGGCAGUCUGGAGCCCUGACCGUCGUCAAUUAUUCCUUUCUUAAACAUCCAUCAUCUCAAAUGUGUUUCAGUCUCACAUCAUCAACAAUGACAGACAUCAAUUUCAUUCCUGUGACUUUUAACCUUUAACAAGUGACACAGGUUAUUUAAGGGACUGAACAAGAGGUCACACCAGACCUGUUCAACAUCAUCCAGCUCAGCUGUUCAAGUAAACCUAAAGUUUAGUUUAUCAUCAGAGUCCUAAGCUGAACUGCACAACAGUUUUUACUCCAUCUGAUCGGAGUACAGAAAUGCUAGAUGAACCCUUGUGAGGUCUGAACCUGUAAACGCAUAAAGAUUCUGUCUCUCAUCAGCAGAACUCAGGAAAGCCGCCUGAAAGCGAUGAUGAUGAGUAAGAUGGCCAGACAGCUGAUGAUUGACAGGACGACAGCCAUGAUGAUAAGGGCAGUGUGGGUCGUCUGCGAACCGCUGUCGUCCGGCACGCCUGACGUAUGAAGGAGCUGAAUACCACAACGCUCA